AUUUCUCCUGAAUACUCUGGAUGAGCAGAUGCCAACGUUGAUUCACAGGAAAAGGAUGUAGCCACGCAAGCCAUAGAAAUGUUGUUUGGGAUGGUAGCCACAGCCCCUAAGGAGACAUUAAGCAAUAUGGAACAAACGCCAAUGAAGCUCUUAAAACUCUUGCUGCGUUUGCUAUAAAGAGAUUUCUUGAGCAGUCUUAGCAAUUUUUCUGACCAGAAAAACACUUCCAGUGUGGAUGAAAACAGAACCGGAGAUGUUUUGAAAACAUGCAAAAGUUUGUUUCCAAAGGGAGCAGUUGACUGUCAGCAAUGUGUAGCGUGCUGAGCAGAGGACAGUGUGGUGGAAACAGCUAUGAAGCAGGGAGAGCC